CUGACAUACUCCUCUAAAUGGGCCUGGCAUCUAUCCCACUGUCUAACGAAGGAAUGUGUGUGGGGGCGGUGUUUAGGGAGGUGAGACCUUCUCUGGGGCACACUAAUCGGCUCCAAACCAAGGCCCAGGCAGGGAGGCACUGGACAGCCUCAGGAGUUUGGCUUGUUGGAGCAGAGUGUAAAGUCCCAGGGGAGCGCUCCUGGUGAUGGGGGCACUGCCUCGACCUCACUCACGCUGGGUGUGGGUAGCAUCCAACUAGGAAGACACACAAUGAAAACCAAAACUGAAGAUGGUGAUGCUUCUGCUGGACUCUCCCAGGACUGAGCCUUAUUCUCAGGGUCAUGCAUUCCGGCAAUCUCUGUAAUUAUAAGCAAUUCAGUUACUACUUGUUUGGACGAUAUGCUGUUGGAGCCAAAUGAACAGAGGGUGAGCAGGCCACAGGUCAGGAGGAGCCGCUGAAGGAUCCCACCAUCUGAGGGCCAUAGAUUCCACUGGGGAACGUUUCACCCUGCUGAGAGGCAGAGUGAAGUCUCUAAUGCUGCAGCACGCAUGCUCGCCGAGGUGUCUCGGUGUCUAACUAAAACCCACAGGUGGUGAAAAAUUCUCCACAUAACUGCUCAGUUUUACUACAAAUUUUGCAGCAACAAGCUGAGGUGAUCUGAAAACAGACUGUGCUUUUGUGUGUUUGACAGUGCUCCUGCUCCAAACGCUCGCAGUCUAAAUGUAGCAUUUUUACAGGACAACACAACUGAAGAAUAUAAAGCUGCACCUGAAGAAAUAAAUCAAUGGCUUUUACCAUUGGCCUUUUGCAGUAUCAUAUACGUAUGUGGUGAAUAGAAAUCUCCUGGCUGGCAUUGUUUUUAUUACAAACGUGUCAUGUUUUUAUUUAUCUUUGCUUGAUUCCCUUUUCCCUCCUGCUCAGAGGUGAGACCUGAAACAACAACAACAUUUUUGUUGAUUUUCACUGUGCCUGUUUGCUCCCAAAAAUUUAUAUUUGAUUCAUUCUCCGUUACAUAUUUAUAAGGUUAUCCCAGAGGGACAAGCCAUGUCAGGCAGUUUUUGGAGUAUC